GAUGAACGCUGGCGGCGUGCUUAACACAUGCAAGUCGAACGGAGUGCCUUUGAAAGAGGAUUCGUCCAAUUGAUAAGGUUACUUAGUGGCGGACGGGUGAGUAACGCGUGAGGAACCUGCCUUGGAGUGGGGAAUAACACAGUGAAAAUUGUGCUAAUACCGCAUAAUGCAGUUGGGCCGCAUGGCUCUGACUGCCAAAGAUUUAUCGCUCUGAGACGGCCUCGCGUCUGAUUAGCUAGUUGGUGGGGUAACGGCCCACCAAGGCGACGAUCAGUAGCCGGACUGAGAGGUUGGCCGGCCACAUUGGGACUGAGACACGGCCCAGACUCCUACGGGAGGCAGCAGUGGGGAAUAUUGGGCAAUGGGCGCAAGCCUGACCCAGCAACGCCGCGUGAAGGAAGAAGGCUUUCGGGUUGUAAACUUCUUUUCUUAGGGACGAAGCAAGUGACGGUACCUAAGGAAUAAGCCACGGCUAACUACGUGCCAGCAGCCGCGGUAAUACGUAGGUGGCAAGCGUUAUCCGGAUUUACUGGGUGUAAAGGGCGUGUAGGCGGGAUUGCAAGUCAGAUGUGAAAACCACGGGCUCAACCUGUGGCCUGCAUUUGAAACUGUAGUUCUUGAGUACUGGAGAGGCAGACGGAAUUCCUAGUGUAGCGGUGAAAUGCGUAGAUAUUAGGAGGAACACCAGUGGCGAAGGCGGUCUGCUGGACAGCAACUGACGCUGAGGCGCGAAAGCGUGGGGAGCAAACAGG
rnacentral:rRNA from 1 species